rnacentral:lncRNA from 1 species
GCUGCUUGCGCUGCUCGCGCUGUUCGCUUUUCGCGCCCUUUUACCUCAGAGCGGAGCGGACCGGCUCGCGCGCUCACGCUCUAUCAGCACCGCUCGGCAGCUCGCUCUCGUUUCCUCUCAGGAGCGUUUUAACCUAAACCCGCGGAGCAGCGAAGGCUGGCACUCGGCUGCCCGGCACCUCCUCCAGCGGCGGAUGGCAGCGGCAGUGCGUGAGAGGCUCCCCGGAGGGUCUGCGCUUCUCUCCGCCGCUCUCCCCGCUCGCCUCUCCGCCCGGACCGAACGGCGGCUCCUCUGAGCCUCAGUCACUCUCUCAGUUCUGUGGACGGUUUACGGUUUAACGGGCUUUUCUGCGUUUCUCACGUUGGGAGAAAAAGGUUGCCCAGACUGGGAUAAGCAGCGUUGGCCAGGCCUAUCUCCUCCUCUUCCUUCUCCUCAACUUCCUCCUGUCCUCUGCUCCCUGCCUCAGCCCUGCCUCGCUCGUGGUCAACGCGUUCCUCCGGCUGCCGCCCCAGCGCUUCCUCGGACACCAGGAACCUGCCGCCACGUCGAUCACGUCUUCACAGCUGGCUGCGGGGCGGCCCUCGUGGCCGAGAUGCCACUGUGUGCCCUGCCAGUCGGCGGUGGAUCCUGAGGGGCAGGAGGUGCCCACCGAGUGCAGGGGGCAGAACGCUAAGCACUGCGACUACGAAAUGAACCUGUGCUGGAACGAGAUCAAGCGCAAAUCCCACAACAUCAGGGUGCGACUGGAGGCCUUCUCAGACAACAGCGGCAAGCUGCAGCUCUCCCUGCAGGAAAUCAUCGAAUGGCUGACGGCCAAAGACGAGGAGCUGUCCGAGCAGCUGCCCAUAGGGGGCGACGUGGGGGCGGUGCAGCACCAGCGGGAGUUCCAUCAGGCCUUCAUGGAGGAUGUAAAGUCCAGGGGACCAUUCAUCUACUCGGUGUUGGAGUCUGCCCAGGCCUUCCUGGCCCAGCAUCCUUUCCAGGAGCCUGAGGAGACGCUGCCAGAUGGCAAAGAGGUGUCGCCGAGGCGGCGAAUGUUGAACGUGAGCCGCUCGGUGUGGAAGCAGGCCAACGUGGCCAGCGAUCUGUGGGAGAAGCUGACGGCACGCUGUGUGGACCGGCACCGGCACAUGGAGCGUACACUGGAGAGGCUGCUGCAGGUCCAGGCAGCGAUGGAGGAGCUGGCUGGAGCUCUGGAGCAGGCUGAAGGAGUGAGGGAUGCCUGGGAACCUGUGGGAGAUCUCUUCAUCGACUCACUGCAGGACCACAUAGAUGCCACCAAGCUGUUUAAGGAGGAGUUGUCUCAAGUCAAGGAGGGCAUGAAGCACAUCAAUGACCUCGCCCACCAGCUAGCCAUCUCCGACGUGCACUUGUCUAUGGAGAACGCCCGCGCCCUGGAGCAUCUCAACAGCAGAUGGAAGCUGCUGCAGGGUUCCAUUGAAGAGCGCCUGAAGCAGCUGCAGGAUGCCCACAGAGAUUUUGGCCCCGGAUCACAGCACUUUCUCUCCAGUAAGAGAGCUAUCACGCUCGGGCUUGCACCGGGCCGCCCGCUCCAUCAGGCCCAGACCACCUGCUGGGAUCAUCCAAAGAUGACAGAAUUGUACCAGGCUCUGGCGGACCUGAACAAUAUCAAGUUCUCUGCGUACCGGACGGCGAUGAAGCUGCGGCGAGUGCAGAAAGCUCUGAGAUUGGACCUGCUGAAGCUGACCAGUGUGACGGACGUGUUCCGGGAGCAGGAGCUGCAGCACGGCGAGUACGUGAUGGACGUGGUGGAGGUGAUCCAUGCCCUGACCGCUCUGUAUGAAAGACUGGAGGAGGAGAGAUCUGUACUCAUCAACAUCCCUCUCUGUGUGGACAUGUGCCUCAACUGGCUGCUCAACGUCUAUGACAGCGGCCGGAACGGUAAGAUGCGGGUGCUCUCCUUCAAGACGGGGGUGGUGAGCCUAUGCAAUGCAGAUGUGCAGGAGAAAUACAGAUAUUUGUUCAGACAGGUGUGUGGUCCAAACGGACUGACGGAUCAGAAGCACCUCAGUCUGCUGCUCCAUGAAGUUAUUCAGAUCCCUCGCCAGCUGGGUGAGGUAGCAGCCUUCGGGGGGAGCAACGUGGAGCCCAGCGUCCGGAGCUGCUUCCGCAUGGCCCCGGGGAAACCAGCUAUCGAGGUUUCUCACUUUCUGGAGUGGAUGAGUUUGGAGCCGCAGUCGGUGGUGUGGUUGCCUGUCCUGCACCGCGUGACGGCGGCCGAAUCUGCCAAGCACCAGGCGCGCUGCUACAUCUGUAAACAAUGCCCCAUCAAGGGCUUCAGGUACCGAAGUCUGAAACAGUUUAACGUAGACAUCUGCCAGAUGUGUUUCCUGACCGGACGAACAACCAAAGGCAAAAGGCUACACUACCCCAUAAUGGAGUACUACACCCCGAACUGGAAAAUAUUUCCAAACAGAAGCUCAAGUUUAAGCAAUCCAUAUUACAGUAAUAACUACUCAAGUAAGCUGGCAGAAAUGGAAAGCCAGAGUUGCUCCUUCUUCACUGACAGCCUCUCUCCUGAUGAAAGUCUGGAUGAAGAUCAGUACCUCCUGCGUCACUCCAGCCCCGCCCUGGAACAGGACUCUCCGCCCGGGCCACACCUCCUCGCCCACCUCGACUGCCACAACAAGGAGGAGCUGCAGCGAACGCUGGCACGGCUGGAGAACGAGAACAGGAUGCUGCAGGGCGAGUACCGGCGGCUGAAGUGGAAGCACGAGGAGGCGGCGGCAGCUCCGCAGCUGGUGGAGGGCGGCGCGGGAUCGCCGGCGGGUCAGCAGGACGAGGAGCUCCUGGCCGAAGCUCGAGUCCUGCGGCAGCACAAGACCCGCCUGGAGACCCGCAUGCAGAUCCUGGAGGACCACAACAAGCAGCUGGAGUCGCAGCUCUGCCGGCUCCGGGAGCUGCUGCUGCAGGUGGGUGCUUAUCGCUUUCGUUUGCGAUAUUUAAUCAAUCAAUCAAUAAAUCAACCUUUAUUUCCACUCGAUAAAUACAUUGAGGGUAACCCUCAUUUUCAAUGCAGCCGAGCUUACAUAAAAUUAAAGGGAUUGAAAAAUAAGUUUAAAUUAUGAAAACAAGCAAAGAAUGUAAGAUUUAAUUAAGAAGAAAUUAAAUAAUUCAAAAUAUAAUGAGACAGGCUACAAUGUAAAACAAUAAAACAAAGAGAUAAAUAAAUAAUUUAGUACA